rnacentral:rRNA from 1 species
GUGAGGAAUAUUGGUCAAUGGGCGGGAGCCUGAACCAGCCAAGUCGCGUGAAUGAAGAAGGAUCUAUGGUUCGUAAACUUCUUUUGCAGGGGAAUAAAGUGCAGGACGUGUCCUGUUUUGUAUGUACCCUGAGAAUAAGGAUCGGCUAACUCCGUGCCAGCAGCCGCGGUAAUACGGAGGAUCCGAGCGUUAUCCGGAUUUAUUGGGUUUAAAGGGUGCGUAGGUGGUUUGAUAAGUCAGCGGUGAAAGUUUGCAGCUUAACUGUAAAAAUGCCGUUGAAACUGUCGGACUUGAGUGUAAAUGAGGUAGGCGGAAUGCGUGGUGUAGCGGUGAAAUGCAUAGAUAUCACGCAGAACUCCGAUUGCGAAGGCAGCUUACUAAGCUACAACUGACACUGAAGCACGAAAGCGUGGGGAUCAAACAGGAUUAGAAACCCUGGUAGUCC